rnacentral:rRNA from 1 species
UCCCGUUGAUCCUGCGGGAGAUUGCUGCUAUUGGGGUUCGAUUAAGCCAUGCAAGUUUGCCCAUCUUCGGAUGAGCGGCAGAAUGCUCAGUAACACGUCAAUUAUCUGCCUUUAGGUCUGGAAUAACCUCGGAAAACUGAGGAUAAUACCGGAUAGAAGAUUAUAAUUUGAAUAUUUUCUCUUUGAAAGUUUCGAUGCCUAAAGAUGAGUUGGCGGCGGAUUAGGUUGUUGGCGGGGUAAAGGCCCACCAAGCCAAAGAUCCGUACGGGCCGUGAGAGCGGUAGCCCGGAGAAGGACACUGAGAUACUGGUCCUAGCCCUACGGGGUGCAGCAGGCGCGAAACCUUUACAAUGCACGUAAGUGUGAUACGGGAACCCCAAGUGCUUAUGCUUUGCAUAGGCUUUUGCCAAAAGUAAAGAUUUUGGCGAAUAAGUGGUGGGCAAGACUGGUGCCAGCCGCCGCGGUAACACCAGCGCCACGAGUGGGAAUCGCUAUUAUUGGGCCUAAAGCGUCCGUAGCCUGUUUGAUAAAUUUCUUGUGAAAUCGGUAAGCCUAACUUAUCGAAUGGCAGGAAAGACUGUUAAACUUGAGACCGGGAGGAGUCAGAGGAAUUUCAGGGGGAGCGGUAAAAUGCUAUAAUCCCUGGAGGACCACCUGUGGCGAAGGCGUCUGACCAGAACGGUUCUGACGGUGAGGGACGAAAGCUAGGGGAGCGAUCCGGAUUAGAUACCCGAGUAGUCCUAGCUGUAAACUCUGCGAGCUAGGUGUUGCACAUUCUCCGUGAAUGUGCAGUGUCGAAAUGAAGAUGUUAAGCUCGCCGCCUGGGAAGUACGGUCGCAAGGCUGAAACUUAAAGGAAUUGGCGGGGGAGCACCACAAGGGGUGCGGCGUGCGGUUUAAUCUAAUUCCACACAGAAAAUCUCACCAGAGGCGACGGCAGAAUGAAAGUCAGGCUAAAGACCUUACUUGACGAGCCGAGAGGUAGUGCAUGGCCGCCGUCAGCUCGUGCCGUGAGGUGUCCUGUUAAGUCAGGCAACGAGCGAGACCUGUGCUUACAAUUGCCAUCGACGCUUUUAGGCGGAUCGAGCACAUUGUAAGGACUGCUCCGGAAACGGAGAGGAAGGUGCAGGCAACGGUAGGUCUGUAUGCUCCGAAUCCUCUGGGCUACACGCGCGCAACAAUGGUAAGGACAAUGGGAUACAAUACCGAAAGGUAAAGUUAAACCUCUAAACCUUAUCCAAGUCCAGAUUGAGGUUUGUAACUCAACCUCAUGACGAUGGGAUCCCUAGUAAUUGGAAGUCAUCAGCUUCCAGUGAAUAUGUCCCUGCUCCUUGCACACACCGCCCGUCAAACCACCCGAGUAGGAUUUAGGUGAUGAUCUACUUUCAGUAAGUUAGAACCUAAAUUCAGCGAGGAGGGUUAAGUCGUCACAAGGUA